CGGGUGAGUAACACGUGGGUAACCUGCCCAAGAGACUGGGAUAACACCUGGAAACAGAUGCUAAUACCGGAUAACAACACUAGACGCAUGUCUAGAGUUUAAAAGAUGGUUCUGCUAUCACUCUUGGAUGGACCUGCGGUGCAUUAGCUAGUUGGUAAGGUAACGGCUUACCAAGGCAACGAUCAGUAGCCGGCCUGAGAGGGUGAACGGCCACAUUGGGACUGAGACACGGCCCAAACUCCUACGGGAGGCAGCAG
rnacentral:rRNA from 1 species